rnacentral:rRNA from 1 species
CAGCAGCCGCGGUAAUACGAAGGGGGCUAGCGUUGUUCGGAAUUACUGGGCGUAAAGCGCACGUAGGCGGACAUUUAAGUCAGGGGUGAAAUCCGGGGGCUCAACCCCGGAACUGCCUUUGAUACUGGGUGUCUAGAGUAUGGAAGAGGUGAGUGGAAUUCCGAGUGUAGAGGUGAAAUUCGUAGAUAUUCGGAGGAACACCAGUGGCGAAGGCGGCUCACUGGUCCAUUACUGACGCUGAGGUGCGAAAGCGUGGGGAGCAAACAGGAUUAGAUACCCCGGUAGUCCCUGUCUCUUAUAC